rnacentral:rRNA from 1 species
GACGAACGCUGGCGGCGUGCUUAACACAUGCAAGUCGAACGGAAAGGCCCUGCUUGCAGGGUACUCGAGUGGCGAACGGGUGAGUAACACGUGGGUGAUGUGCCCUGCACUUCGGGAUAAGCCUGGGAAACUGGGUCUAAUACCGGAUAGGAGCCAUUUUUAGUGUGAUGGUUGGAAAGUUUUUUCGGUGUAGGAUGAGCUCGCGGCCUAUCAGCUUGUUGGUGGGGUAAUGGCCUACCAAGGCGGCGACGGGUAGCCGGCCUGAGAGGGUGGACGGCCACAUUGGGACUGAGAUACGGCCCAGACUCCUACGGGAGGCAGCAGUGGGGAAUAUUGCACAAUGGGCGCAAGCCUGAUGCAGCGACGCCGCGGGGGGGAUGACGGCCUUCGGGUUGUAAACUCCUUUCGCUAGGGACGAAGCUUUUUGUGACGGUACCUAGAUAAGAAGCACCGGCUAACUACGUG